UUACGGUCAUACCUCGUUAAAACACCGGAUCUCAUACAAUCACCAAAGUUAAGCAAUGUCAAGCUUGGUCAGUGCCUAGAUGGGUGACUGCAUAGGAAUACCAGUUGCUGUAA